AAGAAGAAGAAGAAAAAGAAGAUUGAGAUUUCCACGUGGUGCAAAAACCAAAGGAAAAAGCGAAUCCAUCAAAAUUCACACCAAGGCAGAAAGGUGCGGUGAUGCCGUCCCGUCUUUAUGGGAGGGAGCUGCCCUCCCUCUGACGUGAGCAAAAUCCAAAAGGAAGAGGGGAGGUGCAAGCAGCAGCCCCAGGGUUCUGCACAGGUGAGGAGUGGGAAGCAUGGGGUUGUGCUAACAGAGGUGAUCUGCAGGGCAGGGAUGCAAACAGCAGCCUCCUACACACCAAAAUUGCCCGUGCAGCAUUCUCCCAGAUUUAAAUAAUGGGUUUCCAGGAUGAAACCAAAAGUAAUUGAAUGACUUUUUUUUUCUUUUUUCCCCCCCCCUCUUUAAAUUGUGGUUGCUGUGGGUUUUUUUUGGUAUACAAUUCUGCACAAAUUUCACAGUCUGGAGCGGCUGGAUCCAUCGCCACGAGAACGGUCUGCUCUGCACACCUGAGGAAGUGCAAAAAAGUGGAGGAAAGAAAGAAAAAAGAAAGAAAGAAAAGGAGAGAAAGAGCCCUCUGUGCUCCCGGGCACUGUCUGAUGCUGUCACACCAAAGCCAGCUGCCUCCUGCUCCGAGCACAGGGGACCCCUUCAACUUUACAGGUGCAGCAGGGCAACUUUAACCCUGUUGCGAUGAUUGGGUUUCUCGUGUCGUAGAGCGCAUUUCACAGCACAGCGCCUCGCCGACGUCCCUGUUUUGACAAAGCGAAGUUGGUGCUGUUGUCAGCUCGCCUCUCUCUGCGCUCCUUCCUGCAUCUCAUUAAUAUGCAAGCGGCAUUAAAUCGUAAUGAUGUCAGCAGUGCUCUCUGCUGUGCCUCAGUGCUUCCUCCUCCGUGCUCCGAGGAGCAGAUGUUUGCUAUGUCUUUGUUUUCUGUCAUCCAACGGGGACUUUGCCCCGUUAAUCUUCAAUAAGGUGCUUUAAUGGUCCCUGAUGGGAGGUUUUAUCAAAAGCAUUUGAAAAAUCCAAAUAAAUGAUACCCACCCAGCA
rnacentral:lncRNA from 1 species